rnacentral:rRNA from 1 species
GACGAACGCUGGCGGCGUGCUUAACACAUGCAAGUCGAACGGAAAGGCCCUGCUUUUGUGGGGUGCUCGAGUGGCGAACGGGUGAGUAACACGUGAGUAACCUGCCCUUGACUUUGGGAUAACUUCAGGAAACUGGGGCUAAUACCGGAUAGGAGCUCCUGCUGCAUGGUGGGGGUUGGAAAGUUUCGGCGGUUGGGGAUGGACUUGCGGCUUAUCAGCUUGUUGGUGGGGUAGUGGCUUACCAAGGCUUUGACGGGUAGCCGGCCUGAGAGGGUGACCGGCCACAUUGGGACUGAGAUACGGCCCAGACUCCUACGGGAGGCAGCAGUGGGGAAUAUUGCACAAUGGGCGGAAGCCUGAUGCAGCAACGCCGCGUGCGGGAUGACGGCCUUCGGGUUGUAAACCGCUUUCGCCUGUGACGAAGCGUGAGUGACGAUAAUGGGUAAAGAAGCACCGGCUAACUACGUG